rnacentral:rRNA from 1 species
UACGUAGGGUGCGAGCGUUAAUCGGAAUUACUGGGCGUAAAGCGUGCGCAGGCGGUUCGUUGUGUCGGUGGUGAAAGCCCCGGGCUUAACCUGGGAAUGGCCAUGGAAACUGGCGAACUGGAGUGUGGCAGAGGGGGGUGGAAUUCCGCGUGUAGCAGUGAAAUGCGUAGAGAUGCGGAGGAACACCGAUGGCGAAGGCUGCCCCCUGGGCUAGCACUGACGCUCAGGCACGAAAGCGUGGGGAGCAAACAGG